rnacentral:lncRNA from 1 species
AAUAAUAAAAAAAGCUAGGGUUUAUGCAAAAAAAAAUGGAACAAGAUGCAAAAUCUAGGAUAAAAUGAUGGAGAUCUAGGUAGAGAAAAAGAUUAAGUUGCACAAAGUACAAGAAAUUUGUAAAAAAAAUUAAAAGAGGAAGAACAUGGAUAUGAUUAACAGCAGGAAGAAGAAAAGAAAAAAAAAUAAAAAAAAAUACCACAGAUUGAAGAGGAAGGAGAGGAAAUCUGAGCUUUGGAGAAGUUGUGGGCGGAUCUGAUGCGGGCUGGGCGCAGGAAGUGGGGGACCGAACUGGGAGGAGGAAGGAGAAGAAGAAAAGAAAAAAAAAAUGAAAGAGAAAGGCUGUCGGGCGGCUGGGCCGAAGAGGGCCCGCUCGCGGGUUUCGGGCGCGAGUGCGAGUCGACGCGGUCG